rnacentral:rRNA from 1 species
AGAGUUGAUCCUGGCUAGAACGAACGCUGGCGGCGCGUUUAAGCAUGCAAGUCGAGCGGCAAGGGCCUUCGGGCCCCUAGAGCGGCGGACGGGUGAGUAACACGUGGACAAUCUGCCCCCGGCCCGGGAUAGCCCAGGGAAACCUGGAUUAAUACCGGAUGAGACGGGACCCGCGAAGGCGGGACCCGGGAAAGGCGCUGCGGCGCCGCCGGGGGAUGAGUCUGCGUCCCAUUAGCUAGACGGCGGGGUAACGGCCCACCGUGGCGACGAUGGGUAGCCGGCCUGAGAGGGUGGACGGCCACAUUGGAACUGAGACACGGUCCAGACUCCUACGGGAGGCAGCAGCUAAGAAUCUUCCGCAAUGGGCGAAAGCCUGACGGAGCGACGCCGCGUGAACGAAGAAGGCCGUGAGGUUGUAAAGUUCUUUUCGGGAGGGGGAACAACCGUGGCAGGGAAUGGCCGCGGGAUGACGUGAAUCCCGGAAUAAGCCCCGGCUAACUACGUGCCAGCAGCAGC